UACGUAGGGUGCGAGCGUUAAUCGGAAUUACUGGGCGUAAAGUGUGCGCAGGCGGCAGAGCAAGUCGAGUGUGAAAGCCCCGGGCUUAACUUGGGAAUUGCGCUCGAAACUACUUUGCUGGAGUGUGGCAGAGGAAGGUGGAAUUCCACGUGUAGCGGUGAAAUGCGUAGAGAUGUGGAGGAACACCAAUGGCGAAGGCAGCCUUCUGGGCCAACACUGACGCUCAUGCACGAAAGCGUGGGAGCAAACAGG
rnacentral:rRNA from 1 species